GAAAAUUAUUCCUAACUAAAGCUUCUAUAUUCUCUGUACAAGCAGAGUCCAAAAAGUUAUUACCCUCAUCAUGAUAUGAAUGUGGUAGGGAUCUGAAAUUUGGUCCUCUGAUUAGUUCUUCCUUCUUUACAUAUCCAUCUCCUAAGACUACACACUUUUCAUACAUGUGGAACAGUUAUUUAAGCCUAUUUUUGCAAAAGCCAGCAGAUUUGGAGGCAAACCAGCUCUCCACAGCAGUAAUUAUCAUAUCAUCAAAGAAAUUUCUUUCCUGUAAAUAUAUUUUUCAUAUUUUGAAACAGGAAGAAGAUGCUAGAUCAGAAAAAUAUGGAAAUGGAGCAAGAUUUCAUAGCCAUAUUUGUGCAGAAAAGUGACUGUUUCUGCAACUUAAUGUGCAGGUGCAUUAUUAGCUAACAACAAUCUUUUGAUUGCAAACUAAGUCUUUUUUCAUCAAUUCUGCCCCAUAACUUUUUUAGUAAGUUCCUGUAGUAUGCUCUUAUUAUUGUCAUCUCUUUAUAUAAAUAAUCUGU
rnacentral:lncRNA from 1 species